AGUCAAUAGAUACCCUGGUAGUCCACGCCGUAAACGAUGAGUACUAGGUGUAGGAGGUAUCGACUCCUUCUGUGCCGCAGUUAAACACAAUAAGUACUCCGCCUGGGAAGUACGGUCGCAAGAUUAAAAACUCAAAGGAAUUGACGGGGGCCCGCACAAGCAGCGGAGCAUGUGGUUUAAUUCGAAGACAACGCGAAGAACCUUACCUAGACUUGACAUCUCCUGAAUAGCGCAGAGAUGCGUGAAAGCCCUUCGGGGCGAGGAAGACAGGUGGUGCAUGGUUGUCGUCAGCUCGUGUCGUGAGAUGUUGGGUU
rnacentral:rRNA from 1 species